AGAAGGGGGAGCAAACUCAGGUUGCACUGUGCAGCAUCUCACCCCGACGCUCUGCAAGACCUUGGUGACCCCUGACAUUAGAUCAGCACACCUGAACAUCCUUCAGUGAACCUGAGAAGCAUUUUUUAGAAGGUGGGAAGAAGCUGGAGUACCUGUGUAUGGGAAAGGCAUUGUGACAGAGGAUGUGGACCGAGGCCACCAUGAACGAGUCGUACAACUCCCAGAUGUGGAGCUCAUGCACCUCCUCCACCCCAGGCACGCUCCUGAUCCGCUCUCUCACAUCCGAUAGGCUCACGUGAGGAGGCGUGGCUUGCAUCAACAGCAGCCCGUACCUGUGCAUCUGAUGAGGGCUAUACAUAAAUGUCACACACGCCAAUACAGCAAUACCAUGAUAUUUAAAAUGAAAACAUGAUUAAAUAACAUUAAAAAAAUAAACUGGUUUUGUCACA